ACACAAUGAAAAUUUUUAGAAGUUGAUUUAUAUGUAGUUACUGAAAUACUGCAAGUAUUUUAGAAAGUAUUGGGGCAAUUUAAGAACCUUUACAAGCAAUUUAUUAAGGACUCUGUAUAGAGUUUCUGCCAUGAAUGAACAAGAUGAGCCUCAAGGUUUAUUUGAAAGCUCCUUUAAAGACUGAGAUUGAGUAUUAGAAGAUGUUCAGCAUUUUCUCUUUCACAGAUCAACUACAUGGAAGCAGGUCCAGAGACCAUUUCAAGUACCAAUUGAACCUAGCCUUUUCUCAACAAAGGAACUGUGGAUAGCCUCUAAAAAUCAUCAAUCCUUUGUUGCAUAUUUCUUUAUGAGCACAGAUGCUUACAACGUCUAUCGAGUGACUGUAAAUAACAUCAUUUUUAAUUAGAAAUGCGCUGAUUUAAAACUGCCUGCUCAUCUUAGCUCCAUCUUUCAGCCAGUUUCUCUUGUCUGCUCUUCCAAGAAGAAGAGUUUUGCUGAAAGAAGAGUUAGAUUGCUGUUUUGAGAAAACAGGAUGCUGGAAUGCACAAUCAAGUCAUGACCUUCAGGAACAGAAGAGAGACAAGAACAAAAGAGAGACUGUUGUCUUCAGAAGGAAAAUAAUCUCUCUCUAAAAUCUAAAUAGUUCAAUAGCUUCUCCCAGUGUGAAAACAGCAUGGCCUAAUUUUCAGUCCUGUUCUUGUAUUAGCACGUUAUGUUAG
rnacentral:lncRNA from 1 species